AGUGAACGCUGGCGGUAGGCCUAACACAUGCAAGUCGAACGGCAGCACAGUAAGAGCUUGCUCUUACGGGUGGCGAGUGGCGGACGGGUGAGGAAUACAUCGGAAUCUACUUUUUCGUGGGGGAUAACGUAGGGAAACUUACGCUAAUACCGCAUACGACCUACGGGUGAAAGCAGGGGAUCUUCGGACCUUGCGCGAUUGAAUGAGCCGCUGUCGGAUUAGCUAGUUGGCGGGGUAAAGGCCCACCAAGGCGACGAUCCGUAGCUGGUCUGAGAGGAUGAUCGGCCACACUGGAACUGAGACACGGUCCAGACUCCUACGGGAGGCAGCAGUGGGGAAUAUGGGACAAUGGGCGCAAGCCUGAUCCAGCCAGACCGCGUGGGUGAAGAAGGCCUUCGGGUUGUAAAGCCCUUUUGUUGGGAAAGAAAAGCAGCAGGUUAAUACCCCGCUGUUCUGACGGUACCCAAAGAAUAAGCACCGGCUAACUACGUG
rnacentral:rRNA from 1 species